rnacentral:rRNA from 1 species
GACGAACGCUGGCGGCGUGCUUAACACAUGCAAGUCGAACGGAAAGGCCCUGCUUUUGUGGGGUGCUCGAGUGGCGAACGGGUGAGUAACACGUGAGUAACCUGCCCUUGACUUUGGGAUAACUUCAGGAAACUGGGGCUAAUACCGGAUAGGAGCUCCUGCUGCAUGGUGGGGGUUGGAAAGUUUCGGCGGUUGGGGAUGGACUCGCGGCUUAUCAGCUUGUUGGUGGGGUAGUGGCUUACCAAGGCUUUGACGGGUAGCCGGCCUGAGAGGGUGACCGGCCACAUUGGGACUGAGAUACGGCCCAGACUCCUACGGGAGGCAGUAGUGGGGAAUAUUGCACAAUGGGCGGAAGCCUGAUGCAGCAACGCCGCGUGCGGGAUGACGGCCUUCGGGUUGUAAACCGCUUUCGCGUGUGACGAAGCGUGAGUGACGGUAAUGGGUAAAGAAGCACCGGCUAACUACGUG